UCUCCGUUGGUGAACCAGCGGAGGGAUCAUUACAGAGUUCUAAAAGACUCCCAAAACCAUUGUGAACGUACCCGUCAGCGUUGCCUCGGCGGGCGGCCCCCCCCUGGGGCCGCUGCCUCCCUCACGGGGGGUGCCCCCCGGCGUACGAAAACUCUUUUGUAUUUUAGUGGCCUCUCUGAGAAAACAAGCAAAUAAGUUAAAACUUUCAACAACGGAUCUCUUGGUUCUG
rnacentral:misc_RNA from 1 species